UACAGAGGUCUCAAGCGUUGUUCGGAUUCAUUGGGCGUAAAGGGCGCGUAGGCGGUUUGCUAAGUUGGAUGUGAAAACUCUGGGCUUAACCCAGAGCCUGCAUCCAAAACUGGCAAACUUGAGUACUGGAGGGGAAAGCGGAAUUCCUGGUGUAGCGGUGAAAUGCGUAGAUAUCAGGAGGAACACCGGUGGCGAAGGCGGCUUUCUGGACAGUAACUGACGCUGAGGCGCGAAAGCUAGGGGAGCAAACAGG
rnacentral:rRNA from 1 species